CUAAAUACUCCUUAGUGACCGAUAGCGCAUAGUACUGUGAAGGAAAGGUGAAAAGGACCCCGGGAGGGGAGUGAAAGAGAACCUGAAACCCUGUGUUUACAAGCUGUGGAACAUCUUUAAAUGAUGAACCGCGUACUUUUUGUAGAACGGUCCGGCGAGUUACGCGUGCCGGCAAGGUUAAGCACUUAAGGUGUGGAGCCGAAGAGAAAUCGAGUCUGAACAGGGCGUUCAGUCAGCACGCGUAGACCCGAAACCGGGUGAUCUACCCAUGUCCAGGUUGAAGUUGCCGUAAAAGGCAAUGGAGGACCGAACGCACAUCCGUUGAAAAGGGUGGCGAUGAGGUGUGGGUAGGGGAGAAAUUCCAAUCGAACCCGGAGAUAGCUGGUUCUCCUCGAAAUAGCUUUAGGGCUAGCCUCAUUUUAGUCUUAUGGAGGUAGAGCACUGAAUUUCCGCGGGGGCGUCAAAGCUUACCAAAGAAUAUCAAACUCCGAAUGCCAUGUAGAUGAUGAAUGGGAGUCAGACUGCACGAGAUAAGUUGGGUGGUCAAAAGGGAAAGAGCCCAGACCUACAGCUAAGGUCCCAAAGUGCGUGUUAAGUGGAAAAGGAUGUGGGAUUUCAAAGACAACCAGGAUGUUGGCUCAGAAGCAGCCAUACAUUCAAAGAGUGCGUAACAGCUCACUGGUCGAGAGGUCCUGCGCCGAAAAUGUCCGGGGCUGAAACACGACACCGAAGCUUAGGAAUCACAUAGUGAUUGGUAGAGGAGCAUUCUUAAAACCGACGAAGCUGUACCGUAAGGAGCAGUGGAGGGAUAAGAAGAGAGAAUGCCGGAAUGAGUAGCGAGAGGAAGGUGGGAAUCCUUCCGGCCGAAUAUCUAAGGUUUCCAGAGUAAAGCUGAUCUGCUCUGGGUAAGUCGGGGCCUAAGGAGAGGUCGAAAGACGUAUCCGAUGGACAACAGGUUUAGAUUCCUGUACCACAUAUAAACAGAACUGUGGGGACGCAUGUGGAAAGCAUAAGCCGGGAAUGGAAAUACCGGUACAAACGGAAGAGGUGUCAGGCUGGCAAAUCCGCCUGGCAAGCCAAAGACGUGAUGUGGAGCGAAAUAAAAGUAGCGAAGUAUGUGAGCCAUGUGCCGAGAAAAGCCGCUAUUGUUUUAUAUGUGCCCGUACCGUAAACCGACACAGGUGGAUGAGGAGAGAAUCCUAAGGCCGACGGAAGAAGCAUUGUUAAGGAACUCGGCAAAAUGACCCCGUAACUUCGGGAGAAGGGGUGCCCUGUGAAAGCAGGGCCGCAGAGAAUAGGCUCAAGCAACUGUUUAGCAAAAACACAGGUCUAUGCGAAACCGAAAGGUGAGGUAUAUGGGCUGACGCCUGCCCGGUGCUGGAAGGUUAAGAGGAGAGGUUAGCGCAAGCGAAGCUUUGAAUUUAAGCCCCAGUAAACGGCGGCCGUAACUAUAACGGUCCUAAGGUAGCGAAAUUCCUUGUC
rnacentral:rRNA from 1 species